UGGGCUUUACAGUUCCUGCAUUGUACACACUGUGCAUAUAUGUUACAUAAGCACAGCGCAUACAAUGUGGAUGCUGUGCUACCCA
ensembl:miRNA mir460 microRNA mir-460